GAGGUCUGUGCUGUGGAGCAGGCAGUUCUAAUCCUGCUGAUAAGCCAUGUGGGAAUCAUUAUGAUUCCACAUGAUGGAAUUUUUAUUCAGUUUACUUUUUUAGAAAGUUAGGAAAUUAUAUUUAAAAUACUGCAUUAAAAACAUUAAGGUUGCAAAAUUGAGGGCUCAAAAUUAGGAAAUACCAUGGCCGUCAUGCAUAUACAUUAAGAUAUAAUUUUUAAUUAAUUGAUUGCAUACUAUUUUUUCCACAGGCCCACAGCCUCAUUCAGUGGUGUGAAUUUAAAGCAUUAUAGUUAGAUUGGUAUAACUCCCCAUAUGGAUACUUUUAUUCUGGUAUAGGGGUGUAUUUUUCUAGUUUAUCUUAUGCCACUUUGGAAGCAAUUUAAACUAAGGCCAUGUCUACACUACCACUUAUGUGGCUCAGGGCUGUGAAAAAAAACCCACCCCUAAGCAACAUAAAUUUUGCUGUCAUAAGUGAUAGUGUGCACAGCACUAUGGUGGUGGGAGAGCUUCUCCCACCACCAUAGUUACCACCGCUCAUUGAGAUGAUUUUAUUAUGUCAAUGGGAGAGCUCUCUCCCAUCAGCAUAGAGCAUCUACAUGAGUGAUCUUACAGCAGCACAGCUGUGUUGGUACAACUGUGCCACUGUAAGCUCGCUAAUGUAGACAUGGCCUAAGUCAAAAAACCACUCAAAUUCUGGAAUAACAGUGUCCACAUGGGGGAGUAAUUUAACUUUACUGAUAUAAUUACUAUAUAAAAUUAUACCAGUAUACCUGGAAAAAAUUUCCAUGUAGAUAAACCUUUAGAGUGGGAUUUUCAGAAAUGCAUAAGUGAUUUAGGAGCAAAAGUCCUAAUGAUAUAUCACUAACUCCCAAUGUGGACACAAUAAAAUGACUUGUGUACCACUUUCUGAAAUUUACCACCAGCCUCAAUGUGCUCAUGCUCCAAACACAAAAUAUUUGUUAACUUUCUAUGAAUGUUGUAUUAGAUAAACACGUAUUUAUAAUAUUUAUUUUCAGAUACAAAAUUAAGCUGGAGUUAAAGUUAAGAGAGCAUAACAGUAAUUUAAAGGAUGGAAAACCUUACAAAAAUAUAAUAAUAAAAAGUAUCAGAAAAUAAAGAAAGCCAUAGUUAAAAUUGCACUUAAAAGGAAUCCAAACGUUUGAAAGUGCAGGGAUGCACAGUUAACAAGCCCCAAACCCCUUAGCUUUACUGCUGCUGUGGUGCCCUCAAAAAAUAAUUCCUAGACAACUUUAUCCAUCCAUAACAAACAGCUUCAUCUCAGAGAUCAAGCACCUGAACGUUUUACUCCUAAGUGAAAAGUUGUGCAAAGUUCAGUCUGCAGAGCCAUACACUAGGCACAGAUAAAAAUAUACUUUAUAAAAUUGUAAUUAAACAGAUUGCACAUUGAAAGCCAUCAUUCUACAUUCUUCAUUUAGAUUUCUUGUGCACUACUUAUCAGUAAAUCUGUAUCUAUAUACACAAAUUUACUGGCUAAUGAAGUUUUAGCACUUUACAUAAAAAGAGCAAAGGUUAGUGUGGUGUCAAAGUAUACACUUACAACUGGAAUCAUGUUUAUAAGUCUGGUUCAAGAUGUACAAGAAUAGUGCACGCACCCAGAUUUAAUAUCUGCUUCCUCAUACUACAGGCUUCUUAAAGUCAUAAUGGAAAAAAGAUGAUGCUGAGAUGGACAAAUGGCAGUGAUUUGAUCAUUUUUCCAAACUUAUAUUCACAGACAUCGUUUGGGAACUUAGUUUCUUUAGAAAAAGUUAUUGAUCCACAAACAACAUUGUUCAGCAUAAGAGCUUGAUUCUACAAACCCCUAGGAUUUUCAGAAAUAGGCCCUAAGUAUGAAAGGAACAAAGAAGAAAAUAUAGGAGGGUGACAUCACAACAGGUGUAAUAAGGUAUUUCAGAUGCAUUCACUUCAAAUUGUUUGCGUUUUAUAUUUAAACUUAAUUCCCUGAUGUGCUUUUUUAUAAUUACAUUUUUUUUAAAUCUUAAAUUACUGAUAUAUGCUCUCAACCAUAAACUCCAAUACAGAUGCUCCCCAACUUAUGCAAGCGUUCCGUUCCGGAAUGCCUUACGUAAGUCAAAUUUUGCGUAAGUCGGGGACGUAAACCCAACAAUUACGCAAAAAAACCCAACACUUACGAAACUUUUUCCAUGAGUGCGGGUUUGUGUAACCCGGGGAGCGUCUGUAUAAUCAGGAUUUUGUGUGGAAACUUCCUUACUUUUAAAAACAUUUAUGAUCCCAGGCCCAUACAGUGGGAAGUAGGGCACAGAUUCUUUAUUCCCCAAGACUUAGAAUAUCAGGGUUGGAAGGGACCUCAGGAGAUCAUCUAGUCCAACCCUCUGCUCAAAGCAGGACCAAUCCCCAGACAGAUUUUUACCCCAAUUCCCUAAGUGGCCCCCUCAAGGAUUGAGCUCACAACCCUGGGUUUAGCAGGCCAAUGCUCAAACCAUUGAGCUAUCCCUCCCCCUUCUCCUUUUCCUUCUUCCUUCUCUUUCCACCCUCAUGAACCUUAUUGGGCUCCUUAGCCAUUUGAAAGCUAGUUUGUUGAGGCAGUCAGACCUAACUUAUUAUGGCUCAUCAGGUGGCUGUCAGGGAGCUGAAGAACCUCUUAAUUCUCUGUAGGAGAAGAGGAAGUCUUUAUUCCUUAGGAGUGGGCCAGGGAGUAGUAGGAUGACAUGAGAAGCUGGGGAAUGAUUCUAUGUCAAUCUCUCGCUGCAGGCUCCUCUUCCGCUUUCCAAGUUCUUUUCUGCUCACAUCCUGUAUACUCUCAUUUGUUGAUCCUGGAGGACUUCUGCACUCUUCCAGAAUCAGUGAAUAGUAGAAAACUGGCAGGACACUUUACAGGAGAAAGUAGUUUGUCUAGCACCUUAUCCGUUUCCACUCUCUGGGUCUGCUCCAAAGCUCAUUAAAGUCAAAGGAAAGAUUCCCAUUGAUUUUAAGGGGCUUUGGAUCAGAUCCUAUCGACCCAGUCCCUAAGGACAAAGAUUAGUAAAUAGCUUUAUCUUGGAAAAUGCUGUUCCAUGUAUAAUAAACAUCCAGUACUGAAUUUGUAAAGAGCCAUCUGGGCGCUGAUAUUAGGAGUUCUGAAAACCUACCACUGCUGAGAACAUGUGAACUGAAAACUCUGAGACACUGGGAAAAAUCUAAAACAAGUAAUUUAAGAACAUCUUUAACCCUGUACUUCCCAAAAUCUCAGAAAAUUUUUUUUCAUACCCUACUUCAAGCAUCCCAAUUUGCAAGCAGUAAUUACCCCUGUCACAAGCCUAAGGGAUAGAAAAUAAGACUUUGAAUGGAAGUUCAGACCCAACUUUAACUAUGGAGUCAUGACCAACUCCUUCGUAAUAUAACAACAUUGAAUCAGAAGACAGGAACAUAGGAAUUGCCAUACUGUAUCAUACCUGUGGUCCAUCUAGUCCAGUAUUCUGUCUGCAACAGUGCCCAUCACUAGAUGCCCCCGAAGAAGGUGCAAGAACUCCACAGAAGGCAGAUGUGGGGUACAACAGAAUGGCUGAUGAUGUGGAACCCCACAUAAGAACACCCUGCUGGCAGAAAAGCAAUUACCCAGAUCUACUCUGGAAUCUCUUCAGGGGAAAAGAAUGAAGCUUGUUCCACAAGCAAAUCACCAACACUUCACAAACUACGUCCAUCAGAGAAGAGAGAACUGCGUUGCCAACUGCAGCAUCAAAGCUAGAGGCAUCAACCAAGGCAUAGUGUCUAGAGAAGAAUAUACUGAUCGUUUAAUGGAAUGGCCAGCGGUACAGAGCAACUCUACAAUUCACAAUCAACAGGAGCAUGAGACGCACAAGUGACCCAACUGAAGCUCAACACUGUGUACAUUUUCUCUUCGGGUGCAAGUAGUCCAGCUCAAAAUCUGGUUCAAGUUCACAGACUAGCCCAUUUUGUAACAUACCAGCACCACCAUAUAAAUAAACAUGAUUUAAAUGUCAUUUUGUGAGAGUCCAAAAAUAUUGGCGCACUCAUCCCAGAUUAAGGAGCUGGAAUUGACCAGACAUUGAUCACAUUUUUAAUUCAACCCAGUGAUCCAUAAAAUUCAGAAAACUGACCUCCUAUUCCAACCCAUUCAGGCCAUUAUGAAAAUGUGAUGGGACUCAGACGACCUAGCACUGUUUGACUGACUAGGGACUUUGUAAGUCAUCUAGCAUUGAACAAUGACAAGUUGGGUUACAUAAAGUACUGUGUACAAACAGGGCGGCAAACAGGCAGGAAAACAGGGACCUAUCACAGCUACAGAAAAAGGUUGAAUCCAUAGGUGCCCAAGAUUGAGGAGAGACUGAAAAACCAAAGCUCAGUUUUUGUGCUUAUUUUAUCUUGUCUAUGGGAGUGACUUCUAGCAUGUUCUCUCUGGCCUGGUCUACACUAUGAGUUUAAUUCCAAUUUAGCAGCGUUAAAUCAAAUUAACCCUGCACCCGUCCACACAA